AACGAACGCUGGCGGCAGGCUUAACACAUGCAAGUCGAACGCAUCCUUCGGGGUGAGUGGCAGACGGGUGAGUAACGCGUGGGAACGUGCCCUUCAGUUCGGGAUAACCCAGGGAAACUUGGGCUAAUACCGGAUACGUGCGAGAGCAGAAAGAUUUAUCGCUGAAGGAUCGGCCCGCGUCUGAUUAGCUAGUUGGUGGGGUAAUGGCCCACCAAGGCGACGAUCAGUAGCUGGUCUGCGAGGAUGAUCAGCCACAUUGGGACUGAGACCCGGCCCAAACUCCUACGGGAGGCAGCAGUGGGGAAUAUUGGACAAUGGGCGCAAGCCUGAUCCAGCCAUGCCGCGUGGGUGAUGAAGGCCUUAGGGUUGUAAAGCUCUUUCGUCCGGGACGAUAAUGACGGUACCGGAAGAAGAAGCCCCGGCUAACUUCGUGCCAGCCGCCGCCGUAA
rnacentral:rRNA from 1 species